CCUGUGUGUGUGCCUCUGUAUGUGCCUGUGUGUGUGCAUGUGUGUGUACCUGUGUGUGCCUCUGGGUGUGCCUGUGUGUGCCUGUGCGUGUGGCUGUGCAUAUGUGUGUGUGCCUGUGUGUGUGUACACGUGUAGCUCACAGCCAUUGCUGUGAACUCUGGACCUUGGUGACUUUGCUGUGUCCUUUGCUGUACCCAGCGGUGAUCUCUGUCUCUGUUUUCCUAAAUUUCAUCUCUCGCUAAUAAGUGCUUUGAGUGCUUCUUUUCCAUGUCUAUGUGUGUUCAUGCUCAUUCUACCACCUGUUAUCACUCCUCACUGCUCUCAGCAGACCCCAAAUCGUCAUCUUUUUCAGGAAAUCCUAGAUCAGGAAUAAACCUCAGCAUAUUGAGAAUUGUGUCCUCUGAGUUAGAUAAGAACGAAGAGGAAACAUUAUCCAGAGUUUCAUAACACAGGGUCCAUAGAUGUCUUUAGGAUGGAUAAAAUCAUAUAAAAUCAUAAAUCAUAUGUGAAGUGUGUGUGUGUGAUCAUAUUAUUGAAUGAACCUAGUGAGGUUAAAUAAGAAAAAGUAAAUUUGUUUUUUAUCUCAACAGGAGCACCCCUAAGCUAUGUUCGGCCUUUGUACUGAGAGAGGAAGUUGCAUCUCUGGGUGGACACAGCCUGUGGCUCCUGUUGUACAAAGGGCCAGGCCCAGGAGAAGAAUGGAUUGGAGAAGGGACACCAUGUUUCACAGCUGUGACAUUUGCCAUCGGGCCUCAGGACACCCAAUGGCAGAGGUCCUGGCAGGUGGUCCUGAGGAUCCUGCCAGGAAGAGAUGACUACCCCUUGGCAACUCUUGCUUUAUUACUGGCCUUGGGACAUCGUCAGAAUGGAGAUAUUUUGACAUCCCACUGUAUGUGAACAUAUCGAGCAAUGAAUCAGCAUUUACGUCAUCAGCUGGGACAUGACUUCCAAAAGAUCAGAGCCCUUUGCGUUGGCAAGUGCAGCCUAUCUCAUUGAUCUGUGAUAAUUCAUGGGAAAACACACACCUCACUUCACAUCAUCUGUCCUGUGUUUUCCUGUCUCAAUCUUGGAACUCUAAACUAAAAGCUGCCCAGUUACGAUGACCGUGAUGGCCCACAACUAAAUUACAGGGCAUAAGGUUAUCUUAAAGGACAAUGUUUUACGAAGGCCAUGCCAUGCUGGCGUGUGAGAUUGGAGAUGCACUGCCGCAAACUAAGUCCUGGUUCAAAUCAGCAAUCAUUACGUUAGCUUUACACAUUUUGAGAUAUUAAAACACAGAUCAAUGGAUGGAGAAUAACAUUAAAUUUGCCAAAUAUAUAGUUUGAUGAAUUGGCUUCAGAUCCCUACAAAAAGAAAAAGAAAAGUCUGCUGGCGUUAUAUUUUCAUAAUUGAUUUUUUUUUUUUUUUUUGAGAUGGAGUCUUCCUCUGUCACCCAGGCUGGAGUGCAGUGGCAUAAUCUCAGCUCACUGCAACCUCCGCCUCCUGGAUUCAAGCAAUUCUCCUCCCUCAGCCUCCCGAGUAGCUGGAAUUACAGCCAUGAGCCAUCUUGCCUGGCUAAUUUUUCUACUUUUAGUAGACAGGGUUUUGCCAUGUUGGCCAAGCUGGUCUUAAACUCCUGACUUCAAACGAUUUGCCUGCCUUGGCCUCCCAAAGUGCUGAGAUUACAGGCGUGAGCCACCAUGCCCAGCCUAAUAUUUAUUUUUAUUAUUCAGUUGAUUAUAAUGAAUCUUUACCUUUAAUUUGAAGUGAGAAUAUGAUAAUAUGAUAAAAAUAUAUAGAUAUCAUCUUUAUUGUACUGAAUCAACUAAUUGUUUUUAAAGCAGGAUUUAUGCUUUAGAAAAAGAGUAUCCAUGUUCUUUUCUUAAAUUAACCAAGUCCUUGAUACAAAUACUCUCCAAACUCUAUCUUCA
rnacentral:lncRNA from 1 species